GACCACUCCAGUGGCUUUGUGGUUAGAGCAUCUGCCUCAGAUGCAGAAAGCCAUGGGUUCAAUCCCUGGCUGGGUCA